rnacentral:rRNA from 1 species
CGAACGCUGGCGGCGUGCUUAACACAUGCAAGUCGAACGCGAAAGGGACUUCGGUCCUGAGUAAAGUGGCGCACGGGUGAGUAAUGCGUAGAUAACCUGUCUUCAUGUCUGGAAUAAUACGCCGAAAGGGGUACUAAUACCGGAUAUUCUUGCUUUUCAUAAGUUAUGCAAGCAAAGGUGGCCUCUGCAUAUGCUACUGCAUGAAGAGGGGUCUGCGUACCAUUAGCUAGUAGGUGGGGUAAUGGCCUACCUAGGCGACGAUGGUUAGCGGGUCUGAGAGGAUGAUCCGCCACACUGGCACUGGAACACGGGCCAGACUCCUACGGGAGGCAGCAGUGAGGAAUAUUGCGCAAUGGGGGAAACCCUGACGCAGCGACGCCGCGUGAGUGAAGGAAGGCCUUCGGGUCGUAAAGCUCUGUCAAGAGGAAAGAAGUGUACAAUGGCUAAUACCUGUUGUAUUUGACGGUACCUCUAAAGGAAGCACCGGCUAACUCCGUGCCAGCCGCAGC